rnacentral:tRNA from 1 species
GGGGUUGUAGCUCAGUGGUAAAGUGCUCGCCUGGCAUGUGAGAGGUGCUGGGUUUGAUCCUCAGCACCA